rnacentral:rRNA from 1 species
GACGAACGCUGGCGGCGUGCCUAAUACAUGCAAGUCGAACGAGAGCGACCGGUGCUUGCACUGGUCAAUCUAGUGGCGAACGGGUGAGUAACACGUGGGUAACCUGCCCAUCAGAGGGGGAUAACAUUCGGAAACGGAUGCUAAAACCGCAUAGGUUCUACAGUCGCAUGACUGAAGAAGGAAAAGAGGCUUCGGCUUCUGCUGAUGGAUGGACCCGCGGUGCAUUAGCUAGUUGGUGAGGUAACGGCUCACCAAGGCCGUGAUGCAUAGCCGACCUGAGAGGGUGAUCGGCCACAUUGGGACUGAGACACGGCCCAAACUCCUACGGGAGGCAGCAGUGGGGAAUAUUGCACAAUGGGCGCAAGCCUGAUGCAGCGACGCCGCGUGGGGGAUGACGGCCUUCGGGUUGUAAACUCCUUUCGCUAGGGACGAUGCUUUUUGUGACGGUACCUAGAUAAGAAGCACCGGCUAACUACGUGCCAGCAGCCGCGGUAAUACGUAGGGUGCGAGCGUUGUCCGGAAUUACUGGGCGUAAAGGGCUCGUAGGUGGUUUGUCGCGUCGUCUGUGAAAUUCCGGGGCUUAACUCCGGGCGUGCAGGCGAUACGGGCAUAACUUGAGUACUGUAGGGGUAACUGGAAUUCCUGGUGUAGCGGUGAAAUGCGCAGAUAUCAGGAGGAACACCGAUGGCGAAGGCAGGUUACUGGGCAGUUACUGACGCUGAGGAGCGAAAGCAUGGGUAGCGAACAGGAUUAGAUACCCUGGUAGUCCAUGCCGUAAACGGUGGCGCUAGGUGUGAGGGUCUUUUCACGACUUUCGUGCCGUAGCUAACGCAUUAAGCGCCCCGCCUGGGGAGUACGGCCGCAAGGCUAAAACUCAAAGGAAUUGACGGGGGCCCGCACAAGCGGCGGAGCAUGUGGAUUAAUUCGAUGCAACGCGAAGAACCUUACCUGGGCUUGACAUACACCGGAUCGGGCUAGAGAUAGUCUUUCCCUUUGUGGCUGGUGUACAGGUGGUGCAUGGUUGUCGUCAGCUCGUGUCGUGAGAUGUUGGGUUAAGUCCCGCAACGAGCGCAACCCUUGUCUUAUGUUGCCAGCAUUUGGUUGGGGACUCAUGAGAGACUGCCGGGGUCAACUCGGAGGAAGGUGGGGAUGACGUCAAAUCAUCAUGCCCCUUAUGUCCAGGGCUUCACACAUGCUACAAUGGUCGGUACAACGCGCAGCGACACUGUGAGGUGGAGCGAAUCGCUGAAAGCCGGCCUUAGUUCGGAUUGGGGUCUGCAACUCGACCCCAUGAAGUCGGAGUCGCUAGUAAUCGCAGAUCAGCAAUGCUGCGGUGAAUACGUUCCCGGGCCU